CGGAGCGCCAGCUGUUGCCGUCACAACUAUUAAAGAAGCUAUCAUGACUUUUGUAUGUGCCAUCGUGAGUACUAUGUCAUCGGAUCACGAUGCAGAAGGUAAAAUCAGUGUCAAAUUUGGUGUCCUGUUCAACGAUGACAAGUGUGCCAACCUCUUUGAGGCACUCGUUGGAACAUUUUAAGCAGCCAAGCAAAAGAAGGUCAUCACGUUUCAGAGCAAGCUCUUACUGCAAGGAGUUCAUGACAAUGUUGAUGUUAUAUUACUGCAGGAAUGAACUAACAAACUGCCCAGUAUCUUCUUUGUACAAUUUUAUAAAUUUGGUUUUAUUGAGGGGAAUGAGUGCUUUUUGACCAAACAUCUAUCACUAUAAACAAACACACUAUCAUAUAACUAGUUAUUUAAAAAAUAUAUUUAUGUCUAUGAUAAACCUUUAGAUGUGUGACUGCAAAACAAAAUAUAUAUUGUUUUUUUUUUGUUUUUUUGUUUUUUUAAACAUAUCUUGUAUAGAAUUUAAUUUACAAGGUUAGGCUCUUGGGAAACUUAAAACUUAUAAAUACUUAUCCAAUGUUGUUUUUGUAAUGGUAGUUUCCAAAGACCUAGCCGAGGACUUCCCAGUGUAACACUAUUACUGUGAAAUUGGCUAUCAGAUUUAUUUGUGCCAAAUGUUAAGUAGAUUAUUUGUGUCUUUUAGGUAAUCUAGACAAUUAUGUCAAUUUUAAUAUUGAGAAAUUUCUUUUUCAACAUAGAAACUUUACCUUAGAUAUGUAAAGGAUUUAUGAGAGGUUUAUAGCACAAAUUUGAUAAGGAUUACUGUAUUAUUGAUUAUUGAUGAUUAUUGAUUAUUGGUUUCAUUCAUAAUAAACCAUUCCUCUUGGUCAAA